UCGAGCGAGCGGAACCAACAGAUUUACUUCGGUAAUGACGUUGGGAAAGCGAGCGGCGGAUGGGUGAGUAACACGUGGGGAACCUGCCCCUAAGUCUGGGAUACCAUUUGGAAACAGGUGCUAAUACCGGAUAAUAAAGCAGAUCGCAUGAUCAGCUUUUGAAAGGCGGCGUAAGCUGUCGCUAAGGGAUGGCCCCGCGGUGCAUUAGCUAGUUGGUAAGGUAACGGCUUACCAAGGCGACGAUGCAUAGCCGAGUUGAGAGACUGAUCGGCCACAUUGGGACUGAGACACGGCCCAAACUCCUACGGGAGGCAGCAGUAGGGAAUCUUCCACAAUGGACGCAAGUCUGAUGGAGCAACGCCGCGUGAGUGAAGAAGGUUUUCGGAUCGUAAAGCUCUGUUGUUGGUGAAGAAGGAUAGAGGUAGUAACUGGCCUUUAUUUGACGGUAAUCAACCAGAAAGUCACGGCUAACUACGUGCCAGCAGCCGCGGUAAUACGUAGGUGGCAAGCGUUGUCCGGAUUUAUUGGGCGUAAAGCGAGCGCAGGCGGAAAAAUAAGUCUAAUGUGAAAGCCCUCGGCUUAACCGAGGAACUGCAUCGGAAACUGUUUUUCUUGAGUGCAGAAGAGGAGAGUGGAACUCCAUGUGUAGCGGUGGAAUGCGUAGAUAUAUGGAAGAACACCAGUGGCGAAGGCGGCUCUCUGGUCUGCAACUGACGCUGAGGCUCGAAAGCAUGGGUAGCGAACAGGAUUAGAUACCCUGGUAGUCCAUGCCGUAAACGAUGAGU
rnacentral:rRNA from 1 species